rnacentral:rRNA from 1 species
UACAGAGGAUGCAAGCGUUGUCCGGAAUUAUUGGGCGUAAAGAGCUCGUAGGCGGCUUGUCACGUCUGCUGUGAAAUCCCGGGGCUUAACCCCGGGCGUGCAGUGGAUACGGGCUGGCUAGAGGCAGGCAGGGGAGAACGGAAUUCCCGGUGUAGCGGUGAAAUGCGCAGAUAUCGGGAGGAACACCGGUGGCGAAGGCGGUUCUCUGGGCCUUACCUGACGCUGAGGAGCGAAAGCGUGGGGAGCGAACAGG